rnacentral:rRNA from 1 species
AGUGAACGCUGGCGGUAGGCCUAACACAUGCAAGUCGAACGGCAGCACAGUAAGAGCUUGCUCUUACGGGUGGCGAGUGGCGGACGGGUGAGGAAUACAUCGGAAUCUACUUUUUCGUGGGGGAUAACGUAGGGAAACUUACGCUAAUACUGCAUACGACCUACGGGUGAAAGCAGGGGAUCUUCGGACCUUGCGCGAUUGAAUGCGCCGAUGUCGGAUUAGCUAGUUGGCGGGGUAAAGGCCCACCAAGGCGACGAUCCGUAGCUGGUCUGAGAGGAUGAUCAGCCACACUGGAACUGAGACACGGUCCAUACUCCUACGGGAGGCAGCAGUGGGGAAUAUUGGACAAUGGGCGCAAGCCUGAUCCAGCCAUACCGCGUGGGUGAAGAAGGCCUUCGGGUUGUAAAGCCCUUUUGUUGGGAAAGAAAAGCAGCAGGUUAAUACCCCGCUGUUCUGACGGUACCCAAAGAAUAAGCACCGGCUAACUUCGUG